UCCGCCAGAGAACUACAAGUGAAAAACUUGAAACUCAAAGGACUUGACGGUGUCCCAUAUCGACCUAGAGGAGCCUGUCCUAUAAUCGAUACCCCCCGUUCCACCCGACCUCAACUAGCAAAAUAUCAGCCUAUAUACCGCCGUCGACAGUCUACCCCAUGAGGGCUCAACAGUAGACACAACAGCCUUAACGCUAAUACGUCAGGUCAAGGUGUAGCAAAUGUUGAGGAAAAGAUUGGCUACAUUUUUUAUGAUAAAAAACACGAAUUGCACUAUGAAACACUGCAUGAAGGUGAAUUUAGUAGUAAAACAGACAAGAGUGUCUGUUUUAACAACGCUCUGG
rnacentral:rRNA from 1 species